AGUGAACGCUGGCGGCGUGCCUAAUACAUGCAAGUCGAACGAUGAAGUCCUAGCUUGCUAGGAUGGAUUAGUGGCGCACGGGUGAGUAAUAUAUAGUUAAUCUGCCCUACACAGAGGAACAACAGUUGGAAACGGCUGCUAAUACCUCAUACUCCUAUUUGACAUAAGUUAAAUAGGGAAAGUCUUUUCGGUGUAGGAUGAGACUAUAUCGUAUCAGCUAGUUGGUAAGGUAAUGGCUUACCAAGGCUAUGACGCGUAACUGGUCUGAGAGGAUGAUCAGUCACAUUGGAACUGAGACACGGUCCAAACUCCUACGGGAGGCAGCAGUAAGGAAUAUUGCGCAAUGGGGGAAACCCUGACGCAGCAACGCCGCGUGGAGGAUGACACUUUUCGGAGCGUAAACUCCUUUUAUCAGGAAAGAAUAAUGACGGUACCUGAUGAAUAAGCACCGGCUAACUCCGUGCCAGCAGCCGCGGUAAUU
rnacentral:rRNA from 1 species